rnacentral:rRNA from 1 species
CCUACGGGAGGCAGCAGUGGGGAAUCUUGCACAAUGGAGGAAACUCUGAUGCAGCGAUGCCGCGUGAGUGAAGAAGGCCUUUGGGUUGUAAAGCUCUUUUGUAGGGGAAGAUAAUGACUGUACCCUAAGAAUAAGGUCCGGCUAACUUCGUGCCAGCAGCCGCGGUAAUACGAAGGGACCUAGCGUAGUUCGGAAUUACUGGGCGUAAAGCGCGCGUAGGCCGUUGAGUUAGUUAAUUGUGAAAUCCCAAAGCUUAACUUUGGAACUGCAAUUAAAACUACUCGACUAGAGUUUGAUAGAGGAAAGCGGAAUACAUAGUGUAGAGGUGAAAUUCGUAGAUAUUAUGUAGAACACCAGUUGCGAAGGCGGCUUUCUGGAUCAACACUGACGCUGAGGCGCGAAAGUAUGGGUAGCAAAGAGGAUUAGAUACCCCUCGUAGUCCAUACCAUAAACGAUGAUNNUANAUGUUGUAAUUAUUUACUAUAUCGCANCUACGACAUUAAGUACAUCCGCCGUGGGUAGGUACGACCGCGAAGUUAAACGUAACAAUAGAAUUAGUACGGCGUGAGACGUGCCGAACGGACGACCGACCGAGGGGAGGUAGG